AGAGUUUGAUCCUGGCUCAGGACGAACGCUGGCGGCACGCUUAACACAUGCAAGUCGAACGAGAGAAGAGGAGCUUGCUUUUCUGAUCUAGUGGCGGACGGGUGAGUAACACGUGAGCAAUCUGCCUUUCAGAGGGGGAUACCGAUUGGAAACGAUCGUUAAUACCGCAUAACAUAAUUGAACCGCAUGAUUUGAUUAUCAAAGAUCUAUCGCUGAAAGAUGAGUUCGCGUCUGAUUAGCUAGUUGGUAAGGUAACGGCUUACCAAGGCGACGAUCAGUAGCCGGACUGAGAGGUUGAUCGGCCACAUUGGGACUGAGACACGGCCCAGACUCCUACGGGAGGCAGCAGUGGGGAAUAUUGCACAAUGGAGGAAACUCUGAUGCAGCGAUGCCGCGUGAGGGAAGAAGGUUUUAGGACUGUAAACCUCUGUCUUCAGGGACGAAAAAAGACGGUACCUGAGGAGGAAGCUCCGGCUAACUACGUGCCAGCAGCCGCGGUAAUACGUAGGGAGCGAGCGUUGUCCGGAAUUACUGGGUGUAAAGGGAGCGUAGGCGGGAUCGCAAGUCAGAUGUGAAAACUAUGGGCUUAACCCAUAAACUGCAUUUGAAACUGUGGUUCUUGAGUGAAGUAGAGGUAAGCGGAAUUCCUAGUGUAGCGGUGAAAUGCGUAGAUAUUAGGAGGAACAUCAGUGGCGAAGGCGGCUUACUGGGCUUUAACUGACGCUGAGGCUCGAAAGCGUGGGGAGCAAACAGGAUUAGAUACCCUGGUAGUCCACGCCGUAAACGAUGAUUACUAGGUGUGGGGGGACUGACCCCUUCCGUGCCGCAGCAAACGCAACAAGUAAUCCACCUGGGGAGUACGACCGCAAGGUUGAAACUCAAAGGAAUUGACGGGGGCCCGCACAAGCAGUGGAGUAUGUGGAUUAAUUCGAAGCAACGCGAAGAACCUUACCAGGUCUUGACAUCGUAUGCAUAGCUCAGAGAUGAGUGAAAUCUCUUCGGAGACAUAUAGACAGGUGGUGCAUGGUUGUCGUCAGCUCGUGUCGUGAGAUGUUGGGUUAAGUCCCGCAACGAGCGCAACCCUUACUGUUAGUUGCUACGCAAGAGCACUCUAGCAGGACUGCCGUUGACAAAACGGAGGAAGGUGGGGAUGACGUCAAAUCAUCAUGCCCCUUAUGACCUGGGCCUCACACGUACUACAAUGGCUGUCAACAGAGGGAAGCAAAGCCGCGAGGUGGAGCGAACCCCUAAAAGCAGUCUUAGUUCGGAUUGUAGGCUGCAACCCGCCUACAUGAAGUCGGAAUUGCUAGUAAUCGCAGAUCAGCAUGCUGCGGUGAAUACGUUCCCGGGCCUUGUACACACCGCCCGUCACGCCAUGGGAGUCGGUAACACCCGAAGCCUGUAGUCUAACCGCAAGGAGGACGCAGUCGAAGGUGGGAUUGAUGACUGGGGUGAAGUCGUAACAAGGUA
rnacentral:rRNA from 1 species